GGAGUUAGCCGGUGCUUCUUCUGUGAGUGAUGUCCUUCCUGCCGGUUAUUGACCCGCAGGCCUUCUUCCUCACUGAAAGUGCUUUACAACCCGAAGGCCUUCUUCACACACGCGGCAUGGCUGGAUCAGGGUUGCCCCCAUUGUCCAAUAUUCCCCACUGCUGCCUCCCGUAGGAGUCUGGGCCGUGUCUCAGUCCCAGUGUGGCUGAUCAUCCUCUCAGACCAGCUACGGAUCGUCGCCUUGGUGAGCCGUUACCUCACCAACCAGCUAAUCCGACAUAGGCUCAUCCGAUAGCGCGAGGCCCGAAGGUCCCCCGCUUUCCCCCGUAGGGCGUAUGCGGUAUUAGCCUGGGUUUCCCCCAGGUUAUCCCCCACUACCGGGCAGAUUCCUAUGCAUUACUCACCCGUCCGCCGCUCGCCACCAGGGAGCAAGCUCCCCGUGCUGCCGCUCGACUUGCAUGUGUUAGGCCUGCCGCCAGCGUUCAAUCUGAGCCAGGAUCAAACUCUGA
rnacentral:rRNA from 1 species